rnacentral:rRNA from 1 species
UUUUAAAUUGCUGUAGUAUUUUGACUAUACAAAGGUAUUGUAAUAAGACUUUAAUUGAGUGCUAAAAGAAUGGAAUUACAAAAAAAGGCUUUUUUAAUUUUAAAAAUUAAAAUUAUUUUUUUUUGUGAAGAAACAAAAAUUUAAAUUAAAGACAAGAAGACCCUAAGAAUUUUUUUUUUUAUUAAAAUAAUAUUUUAUUUUAAAAAUUUAAUUGGGGCGAUUAAUUAAUAUUAAAAACUUUAUUAACAAAAAAAAUGAUCCAUUAUUAAUGAUUAUUUGAUUAAAAUACUCUAGGGAUAACAGCGUAAUAAUUUUUGAUAGUUCUUAUAGAAAAAAUAGUUUGCGACCUCGAUGUUGGAUUAGGAUUCUUUUU